GCNCCCNGAACCCUUUGUGAACUUAUACCUUACUGUUGCCUCGGCGCUAGCUGGUCCUUCGGGGCCCCUCACCCCCGGGUGUUGAGACAGCCCGCCGGCGGCCAACCCAACUCUUGUUUUUACACUGAAACUCUGAGAAUAAAACAUAAAUGAAUCAAAACUUUCAACAACGGAUCUCUUGGUUCUGGCAUCGAUGAAGAACGCAGCGAAAUGCGAUAAGUAAUGUGAAUUGCAGAAUUCAGUGAAUCAUCGAAUCUUUGAACGCACAUUGCGCCCUCUGGUAUUCCGGAGGGCAUGCCUGUUCGAGCGUCAUUUCAACCCUCAAGCCUGGCUUGGUGAUGGGGCACUGCUUCUUACCCAAGGAGCAGGCCCUGAAAUUCAGUGGCGAGCUCGCCAGGACCCCGAGCGCAGUAGUUAAACCCUCGCUCUGGAAGGCCCUGGCGGUGCCCUGCCGUUAAACCCCCAACUUCUGAAAAUUUGACCUCGGAUCAGGUAGGAAUACCCGCUGAACUUAAGCAUAUCAAUAAGNCGGAGGAA
rnacentral:rRNA from 1 species